rnacentral:rRNA from 1 species
UAAGCGGAGGAAAAGAAACUANCANGGAUUCCCCUAGUAACUGCGAGUGAAGCGGGAAAAGCUCAAAUUUAAAAUCUGGUGGUCUUUUGGCCAUNNGAGUUGUAAUUUAGAGAAGCGUCUUNCGCGCUGGACCGUACACAAGUCUCCUGGAACGGAGCGUCAUAGAGGGUGAGAAUCCCGUCUUUGGUACGGACCCCCAGGGCUUCUGUGAUGCGCUCUCGAAGAGUCGAGUUGUUUGGGAAUGCAGCUCAAAAUGGGUGGUGAACUCCAUCUAAAGCUAAAUAUUGGCGAGAGACCGAUAGCGAACAAGUACCGUGAGGGAAAGAUGAAAAGCACUUUGGAAAGAGAGUGAAACAGUACGUGAAAUUGUUGAAAGGGAAACGCUUGAAGUCAGUCGCGUCCGCCGAGACUCAGCCUCGCUCCGGCUUGGCGUAUUUCUCGGUCGACGGGUCAGCAUCAAUUUCGUCCCUCGGAUAAUGGCAAGGGAAAGGUGGCACCUUUGCGGGUGUGUUAUAGUCUUUUGUCGCAUGCGAGGGGUGAGAUUGAGGAACUCAGCACGCGCGCCCUCUGGGGUGUGUCGGGGCCUCGGCCCACGCCACGUGCUUAGGAUGCUGGCGUAAUGGCUUUAAACGACC